GUUUAGGAAAAAAAGAUUGUUUCCAGUUUUUGGAGAAAAAAUAAUUUGUUUUUGUUGUUUGUUUCACCCUUAGCUGCCACUAUAUGCAAUGCUAAAAUUGAAAGUAAAAAAAUGUUUUCGACAUUGAGUUGUCGCAAAAACAAAGUUUGUACGGGAAAAAAAUCCAUAGCCCCCCCCUCCCCCUCCGAAAAUCAAAUGGUUGCUGCCUUAAUUGUUUGGAUU
rnacentral:lncRNA from 1 species